rnacentral:ribozyme from 1 species
AAAAAAGCAGCCAAAAAACACAAAAAAAGCAGAUUCUCUCUCAACUUUUUCUCUCUUUUCUCUUUUCUCUCUCUCUGCUUCUCUCUUUUUCUUCCUCUUCUUCCUCUUCUUCUUCUUUUUCUGCGAAGAAGAAGAGCAGGA